GGUGUCUAUGACUGUCUAAUCAGCAACAAAAAGCCUCUUGGAUACUUUGACAUGAAGCCAGACGCGGCUGCAUUGACCAUCAGAAAACAAAAGGCUCCAAAAUGUGAUGGUCCAUUCACAUUAACUGAGGUCGGGUGCAUAAUGCUGCUGGAAGAACUCCGUAUUGCCAAAACUUGUCGUAGGUUAUGUCAGUCUCUGGAUGCAGAUCUUGCUGUCGUGGAGAUGAAUGAACAGCAAAAGAAGUUAUGGGAUAUACUGAAAAGCAUCUACAAUAAGCGUAAGUCCUCCUAUUUCUCUAUAUGCACGCAUGCAGGAAAAUGCUGAAGAAGAAAUUGCACUCCUUUAUCUGAGAUCAGCCAACUUUUCUUUCUUCUGGAUUGGAAUUGAGAAGAGCCAGUGGCUCACUGGUGUACCUGUGACCACUUUUACAUCACCAAAUAGUUGUGGAACCAUUCGGGAAAACGGAGUCAUUAGGGAAUCGCUAGAAUGUGCAGAAGCUCUUAAUUGUGUCUGUCAACGUUUCGUGUAUGAGUAAACAUCUUCAGUCACAAUGAGGAAGGAACCCAAGUUUAGCUUUGAUGAACACCUAUCAUGUUUGUGUUAGCCUUUUUGUGUGUAAGAAUGAACUUUGUCGUUAAUAGGGUUAUUUCUGGGUCCGACAGACUUUUUUCUUACGGAACUCUCUGGAAGUUAGAAUUGAGGAAUUCCAGUUUACUAGUGAAAAAACAAUAAUAAUAGAUGGGCAACUGGGGAAUUUUUUUUUAUGCAAUGUUGUAUGUAGCAACCUUACUGACCA